rnacentral:rRNA from 1 species
AUUGAACACUGGCGGCAUGCUUUACACAUGCAAGUCGAACGGCAGCACGGGUGCUUGCACCUGGUGGCGAGUGGCGGACGGGUGAGUAAUACAUCGGAACGUGUCCUGAAGUGGGGGAUAACGCAUCGAAAGAUGUGCUAAUACCGCAUAUACUCUGAGGAGUAAAGUAGGGGAUCGAAAGACCUUAUGCUUUUGGAGCGGCCGAUGUCUGAUUAGCUAGUUGGUGGGGUAAUUGCCCACCAAGGCGACGAUCAGUAGUUGGUCUGAGAGGACGACCAGCCACACUGGGACUGAGACACGGCCCAGACUCCUACGGGAGGCAGCAGUGGGGAAUUUUGGACAAUGGGCGCAAGCCUGAUCCAGCAAUGCCGCGUGAGUGAAGAAGGCCUGGUUGUAAGAUCUUCUAGUUGUAGAAGAAAGAAUAGUAACUAAUAAUUAACUAGUUAC